UGUGAGUGUGAGUGAGUGUGUGUGGGUGUGUGGGUGUGUGUGGGUGGGUUGUGUGGGUGUGCGUGUGUGCGUGUGCGUGUGCAUGCGUGUGUGUAUCCGUGUGUGUGCGUGUGUGUAUAAAAGGAGGUUUUUUAGUUGGUACAUUUUAGUAAAGUUUACUAAGUUUUAGGUUACAAAAAUGUCUCUGUUGAAAAAGAAAAUCAACUUUAAAUCUAAGGAUAUUUUAAUAAUUUUAAAUUUUAAUUUAAAAUGAAAAAAAUAAAAGGUAAUUAUUAAAAAUCAUGAUUGGUCUACAUGUACAAGAGAAGUUAUUA
rnacentral:lncRNA from 1 species